ensembl:snRNA U6 U6 spliceosomal RNA
GUGCUCUCUUCUGCAGCAUAGAGACUAAACUUAGAACAAUACAGGGAUUAGUACAGCCCCUGCACAAGGAUGAUGCAGAUUUGUGAAGAGUUGCAUAUUUAA